GUCUUCAUAAUCAUCUCACUUCUAUGUCAAGCUCCCCUCUGCCUGGCACCAGAGGCAAAGUGUCAGUCAGACGAGCAGAUCCCCAUCCAGUCAUUGUGUGGCAUUGUCUGGAGUCCCUGUUCCCGUGGCAGGGCUGCCUGUGGUGGAGGACCAAAACGGGACUGGACCCCCGUGGACCCUGCUGCGGGGAUGCUCCUGUAUCUCUCUGCCCCAGCUGAGAUACCAGAUACCAGGCCUGGCUCUUCCUCAGCUCCUACCAACCUCCCGGGGCAGAGAACACACUUGACGCUUCUUUGACAGCUUGGAAACCCUGACUUUCACCGUCACCUCAUAUUCUUUCCAAUCUGGUGUUUUUGGCGUAAAACUGAUGCUGUGGCUCUUUCAAGGCCAGGCUUCUGAUACUGAAAAGCCCAGAUGUAUGAACCUCCAAAAAGCGUUUCCUCUGCUUCUCUGAGCAUCAUUGCACAGAGAGUCAAGAUUUUGGCGACAACAACACACGCUUCCUUCCUCACACAGCCUGCCUGAUGGAGCAGAGGAAGACAUUUCUCCAUCAAGGGUGCAUUCGUGUCUGUGCUCCCUGCCAGAAUCUCUAAGUACACUCUUUGAUGC
ensembl:lncRNA